CAGCCGCCGCGGUAAUACGAAGGGUGCAAGCGUUACUCGGAAUUACUGGGCGUAAAGCGUGCGUAGGUGGUGGUUUAAGUCCGUUGUGAAAGCCCUGGGCUCAACCUGGGAAUUGCAGUGGAUACUGGGUCACUAGAGUGUGGUAGAGGAUAGUGGAAUUUCCGGUGUAGCAGUGAAAUGCGUAGAGAUCUGGAGGAAUACCGAUGGCGAAGGCAGCCAUCUGGCCUAAUACUGACGCUGAGGUACGAAAGCAUGGGGAGCAAACAGGAUUAGAUACCCCCGUAGUCCCUGUCUCUUAUAC
rnacentral:rRNA from 1 species